rnacentral:rRNA from 1 species
UACGUAGGGUGCGAGCGUUAAUCGGAAUUACUGGGCGUAAAGCGUGCGCAGGCGGUUCGUUAUGUCCGUUGUGAAAGCCCCGGGCUCAACCUGGGAAUUGCAUUUGUGACUGCAUGGCUAGAGUGUGGCAGAGGGGGAUGGAAUUCCGCGUGUAGCAGUGAAAUGCGUAGAUAUGCGGAGGAACACCGAUGGCGAAGGCAGUCCCCUGGGCCUGCACUGACACUCAAGCACGAAAGCGUGGGGAGCAAACAGG